GCACGAGAACAAACAAAAGCCUGGCAGCAAGGGGAGAUCAUAAUAUUUGCAAGCAAAAUAUCAUUCAGUCACGGAGUGACUGACAAAUCACAUGAUGGCAAGGUGAAGUCAGAUAUCAAAGAUACAAACUAAAUUACACUGAACGCAAGCCAGCCCUGUAAGCUGUUAAUCCAUCCUUUGUUAGCAACGCAGCAAAUACGUUAAUGGACCUAAACUGUCAUUUGCUUUCACAGCUUUAGCCUGUCAGGGCUCAUUUAAAGCUUCCAAACCACCUUCAGCAAUAGUCUUGGCCUUGCAUUUUCCACCAAGUCUAGCAGCCUGCACGGAACGGGUGAUUUAUUCUGAAAUACGCUGCUUUAUAUCCUGGUGAAGUAGAAUACGCCAGAAUCUAUCUAAACAGGUGAAGUCGGUGCAUGUAAGGAUACUGUUUGUCAUUAGUUUCAAAUAGGAAAGGCUGGGACGCAGGCAGGGCGCCAGCUCCUGGCUUUCAGCAAUGACUUUAAGGCAGCUGAAAUUUGCUAGCGACAUCCUGCCACGACAGCUCGAGGCUGGACGCUGGUUGCACAUGCACAUGUGUAGCUCUAGAGCUAGCAACAAGGAAUAACUUAGUGAGAUAGAAACCAGAAGUCAUCUUAGAUUCAGCUGGAUCCACAGCAGGCAGAAGCAGGACUUUUGCUCGAAAAGCAGCUUCCUGCCCAACCUUUUCAGUACCACAACGUACAUCUGUUUACCGGGCAGACAGGGACACGCUGGAGAGAGCACAGGGAAGGACAAUGAGAAUGGUUAAAGGACUGGAGUAACCAUCACACGAGGGGAGGCUGAGAGAGCAGAGGACAUUCAGCCUGAAGACCACGCUCAGAGAGGAAUCAUAUAGCUGUGUAUAAAUCCUUAACAGGAGGAAAAAGAGAGUCGCCCUUCUUACCAACAACCAGUGAAAGGACAAGGGGAACAAACUGAAACAAGAAACAGCUGAUCCUGUGCCAAGGCUAGGACAAAGCGGAGAGCUGCUCAAGCCUAUUCCAGUCCAGCUUUCCAACUCUGCCCAAAAACAUAAGUGAAAUUGCCCAGGACAAACUGCUAGCUCCUUCUGCAGUCAGAAAAGAAGGAGAGGCUCCUGUGGAGGAAGAGUCAAAGCUCUGUAAGGCCUUGCUCUGAACCAGACCCCUAAGAGGCCUCUCGCUCCCCGCUGGUAACAGAGGGAUC